GAACCUUACCAGGUCUUGACAUCUCCUGCCAACCCUAGAGAUAGGGCGUUCCCCUUCGGGGGACAGGAUGACAGGUGGUGCAUGGUUGUCGUCAGCUCGUGUCGUGAGAUGUUGGGUUAAGUCCCGCAACGAGCGCAACCCUUGAUCUUAGUUGCCAGCAUUCAGUUGGGCACUCUAAGGUGACUGCCGGUGACAAACCGGAGGAAGGUGGGGAUGACGUCAAAUCAUCAUGCCCCUUAUGACCUGGGCUACACACGUGCUACAAUGGAUGGUACAAAGGGCUGCGAGACCGCGAGGUUAAGCCAAUCCCAUAAAACCAUUCUCAGUUCGGAUUGCAGGCUGCAACUCGCCUGCAUGAAGCCGGAAUCGCUAGUAAUCGCGGAUCAGCAUGCCGCGGUGAAUACGUUCCCGGGCCUUGUACACACCGCCCGUCACACCACGAGAGUUUGUAACACCCGAAGUCGGUGGGGUAACCUUUUGGAGCCAGCCGCCUAAGGUGGGACAGAUGAUUGGGGUGAAGUCGUAAC
rnacentral:rRNA from 1 species